AGCAACCAAGAGAGCUUCAAAGCAAGGUCGGUGGCCUUUUGUGAGUGUCUAGAGUGGAAAGAGAGAGAAACGAAGGGAAUGGGUGCCAAAGCUCUUUUCUUCUUUGCUUUAUUAUCCUUCUUAGCUGUGUCUCUCAGGCCAGCUUUUGCAGAAGAUGAGGAAGAUCCAGGUCUUAUUAUGAAUUUUUACAGGGACACAUGCCCUCAAGCUGAAGACAUUAUCAGGGAACAAGUUAAGCUUCUGUACAAGAGACACAAGAACACUGCAUUUUCAUGGCUCAGAAACAUCUUUCAUGACUGUGCUGUUCAGUCAUGCGAUGCUUCACUGCUGCUGGACUCAACCAGAAGGACCUUGUCUGAGAAGGAGACAGACAGAAGCUUUGGCCUAAGGAACUUUAGGUACCUUGACACGAUCAAAGAAGCUGUAGAGAGGGAAUGUCCUGGAGUUGUUUCCUGUGCAGACAUCCUUGUGCUGUCUGCUAGAGAUGGCAUUGUUGCGCUAGGAGGCCCUCACAUCCCUCUUAAAACUGGAAGAAGAGAUGGCAGGAAGAGCAGAGCAGAUGUGAUCGAACAGUACCUCCCAGACCAUAAUGAGAGCAUC
rnacentral:misc_RNA from 1 species